ensembl:lncRNA
UAAGAAGAAUACUGGUGUUAUCCUAUCGCAAACUAUCUCCAUAUCCUCUCACCAAAGAAUCCACGUACCUGCAUCUCUCCCACUGUCAUUCAAAUUACCUGUCUCAAUAAACCACUUCAUUCAACUUACCCUCUGCAUUGAGUCCGUUUGUUACAGGAUCAUUCUAAUACUUAAUAUUUAACAAUAACUUAACAAUGCAAAUAUUACACUGCUGAUUUUACUGUGUAGCAAAUACUCAAACAACAGGAGACAGACAGGAAAGAUGACAAAGAUGCAGAAGCUUCUUGCAGCACUUUUCAGGAAGUGAAUGUCUCAAAUUUUGUUUCCUGUUGUGGUGAAUUUCUUCUCAAGUUUUAACAAAACAUAAAAGAAUCUCAUGUUUCAAUUGUAUCUGCUUCAUGUUAUAUUUAGAGCAUAAAAUUAGUAAGAAAAACUAAUAAAACUGUCAUAAGAAUUCAAUAUCCUUGAAUAAAUUUCCAUUCCAGCUUACUAUUUCCAUUCUAUUAAAAAAAAUAAUUUCUAAAACAGAACAAGUGAAGCACAGUAAAAUGCUGAUGUGAGAAUAAAGACUGUAUUUUAAAUCUUAUAAUGAACAACAAUCGACUUUCCACAGCGACUUGUGUGGAACACAUAGGAUGUUUCUGAUCAUAAGUAAUAAGAUAAAAUUACAUAUUAUAAUAUGAAAUAAUACAAUAAUUUGUAUCUUCUUUUAAAUAAUCUGUGUACAUUUCAUACCACACGCUAAGAAAGAGUGUCUGCACACUUUUGUAAAGUCACUCAUAGGGCAGGCAUUUCAACUGGAUGUUAUAGAAUCAAAUAUUUAUUUUCUAAAAUUAUUUUUCCCUUAAUAAAUGUUAAAAUUUGGGCAUAUUGUAGGAGCCAUCUGGCAACUGACUUUAGGCAUUUUAGGCACAUAAUACUCUUAAUAAAAAGUCUUAAAAUUAAAUCUGUUUGUGUGUGCGUGUGUGUAGAGCAGAACAGAACUGACAUAAAAUCAGAGCAGCAGAGGCAUCUGUUUAUCACAAACCUGUUGAAAAGUGAACACAUUAUUUUAGCCAGACCUAAAGAGAAGAUCCUUGCUGAAGACCCUGAAGAAGUAAAUAUAGCCUGCAAGUUUGAGUCAAGACUGAUUUGUUCUGUUGCAUCAAGAUGGAUUGUGCUGGCCUUUUUAGGAGGCAGCAUCCUCAUGAACCUUUUGGCCUUGAGGAAGGGGGAAGAAACUCAACUGAUGUCAAUUUAGGCUACACGGUUAAUGAUUUGUUAUUGUUUUUUUAUGAAUUUAAGAGAUUAGAUUCUUUCUUUCUUUUUUAAUGCGUUUAUAUUUAAUCAGGGACAAUGCACAAAAAAACAUUAGUCUAAGAAAGAAGAGAUGUCGUGUGCCAGGUUAAAGCAAAAAAUGCUAAUUUCCACCCGCAGUCCCUAGACAGAUGUUACAUUUACAAAGGUUCAUAAAAUAUAUACAGUAUUAUACAUGGAAGCAUUACUUCCCUCACAUCAUAAGAACACUCUCCACUUCAUGAUAUACAGAAAUUAUACAAGGAAACAUUACUUCACUCACAUCAUAAAAACACUCUCAACUUCAUGUAUCUAACACUCACUCACUCACAGUCUACAUCAUUCAUAUCACAGUCAUUCAGUGCUUACAGGUUUGCUUUGUUAAUAGCCACUGUUUGGUCAGGUGUGUAAAUGUACUAUAAUUUAUACUGUACAUGAAAUAAUUUCAUUUGGAAGAGUGUUCCAAAGACUCGCUGCUUUAUAAGAGAACGAAUGUUGACUAUAAGUGGUUCUACAUCUUGGAACGCUGCACUCUCCUCUGACUGUAGACCAUGUGGCUCUAUAAAGUCUCUCUGAAUUUAGUGUGACAAAUUUUCUCAAAGGGGGAGCAGCGAUAUUAUGGAUGAUUUUAAAUAGAGCAGAAAUUUGAUUGUAUAUAAUGAGGUUUUCAAAACUCAAUGUUAUAUUUAUUUAGUACUUUACAAUGAUGGUACUGAUGAGGCUUUUUAUCAUGAAUUUUUAUUGCCCUUUUAUAUAAUGAUUCAGGUAAUUUUAACAAUGUUUUACACGCCUGAGACCAACUAGACAUGCAAUACAGAAGAUGCGGAACAAUCAUAGUAUUGAAAUAUAUAUUUGAGGCUUCCGUAGUUAAUGAAUUUCGAAUAAAUUUAUAAUUCAUCAAAUUAAAUUUCA